CUGCUGGAAUGGUUACUACUGCACAUGGUACUGAUCAGGGAAGUUGAGGAAGAGAGGGAGAGUGGGACAGGACGAUAUAUAACACUCCAGUUGUGUCUGUUGGUGGAAACACUUGCCGCACACACCUGCUGUGCGGAAGCCUGCUCGUUCAGUAGAAGUUGGUGGCUUGUCUGUCCGGGAGCCCCGAUGGUGGUUCAGCACGUUGUAUUCAUAAGAUGAACAUGUGAUCAUGCGAUGAAAUACUUUAUUUUUAAGAACACUGUCUCACCAUUUCACAUUUUUGUGGCAGUUUUCACAUUUCUAUUCCAUCACUUGACUAUGGCAUAUUAUGCCUAUGCCAUCACAUGCCUAUGAUGUCAUAAUAUCUAUGGUAUCACUUCAUCAUCCUCGGCGAUUCCUCGCACACGGGCCACGGCUUUGUUGUAGCUUGACUAUGACAUCACCAGACUCCAUUAUCACAUGACUAUGACAUCAUAGCAUGCCAGAAUUCUUUUUAGUUUCAGUACAAUAAUAAUAAUUAUGAUAAGAUAUGUUCUCAGUUCAGACAGUAAAUUGGACAUUGGAGCAGAAACUGGUGGUACGGAUGUUACGCACUGACGUUGAUCAUGGCCAGCAGUCACGUGACUGGAGAGUGAAAAGAGUGAAAGAUUUUCAGAGAUCUCAGCGUACUGGCUGUUCUCUGUUAUUCCUCCGCGGUCAUGAAGCAAAGCUGAGUGGCAUUCAGUAGCAUUCGUCUGCCGGGGAAAAUCACAGGAUUGGAGGGCAAAGAUGGUGGUAGUUGUGUGCCGAACGCUCUAAUGCAAGUAUAUCUGCCAGAAGACUGGAGUGAAGUGAAUAUGUUUGUGUUAUCGAAUCAACAGCAGAGCGGUCGUGCUGUUAUUUCUGCAGCUGUGUAGCAGAUGGAUGUGACUACUACAAGUGUGUGGCUCCGUCCCCAGCCGCAGUGGAGUCGUGUUGUGGCGCGCACUGUGCGUCCCGCGGCUGCUGAUUCCGUUCGGUCCAGGGCAGGAAUAUACACCGCUGCUCAGGUUAUCCCCAGGCCAUACGUCAGUCUCGGGGCAGCAGUCGUAGGUGACCUGUAUCCUGACAACCUCUCGUUGGGUCCCGGACGCCGUGGGACGGCGUUCUCCUUUUCUCUCUCCGUUGCCACUCCGGGCCCACGUGACCCUUGUGGCAGUGGCUCGCUAGGACAGGACAGGACAGUGUCUAUUGCGGAUAGCGUUGCCAGUGUCUAUACUGUUACUGCUGCUUCCUCCAUGGUCAGCUGUGCUGAACAGUGAUCCGUUACGUGUGUGUCAGCGAGUACUCAGAUGAUGGGCAGAAAUCUGGAUGGCAGAGCUGCAUCUUAGUAAGGGGUAUUUUCCGCAGUGGCGGCGUGGUUGCUUUUAUUGCAGCGAGUUUUUCUUCUAAGGUCUCCAUAUGCAAAGUAAUCUGUUGGCUGAUGGACGGAUGCCGGGAUGGUUCAGAAAUGAAAGUUGCAGUUGCUGGUCGAGUUGCUGACAGUGUGAUGCUGCUGUGAUAGAGAUCAUGACUGAUGUCAGUAGCUGUACUAUUCCUCUGCUUCAUCUCUGGUCCUGGGUAACAGGAAUCAGAUGUAUGCAGAUCAGUGACGUUUCUGAUGACGUUAACAAACCUGGAUGAUAUUGCUUCAAUGCAGAAAGCUGUUGUUGCUGUUGUUGGUGAUUCAGAGGAGGUGAUUUCUCGGUGGCAUUCAGUAGCAUUCGUCUGCUGGGGAAAAUCACAGGAUUGGAGGGCAAAGAUGGUGGUAGUUGUGUGCCGAACGCUCUAAUGCAAGUAUAUCUGCCAGAAGACUGUAGUGAAGUGAAUAUGUUUGCGUUAUCGUAUCAACAGCAGAGCGGUCGUCCUGUUAUUUCUGUAGCUGUGUAGCAGAUGGAUGUGACUACUACAAGUGUGUGGCUCAGUCCCCAGCCGCAGUGGAGGCGUGUUGUGGCGUGCACUGUGCGUCCUGCGGCCGCUGCUUCCGUUCGGUCCAGGGCAGGAAUAGACACCGCUGCUCAAGUUCUCCCCGGCCAUACCUCAGUCUCUGGGUAACAGUCCUAGGUGACCUGAAUCCUGACGACCUCUUGUUGUGUCCUGGACGCCGUGGGACGGCGUUCUCCUCUUCUCUCUCCGUUGCUCCUCCGGGCCCACGUGACCUUGUGGCAGUGGCUCGAUAGGACAGGACGGGACAGGGUAUAUUUCGGAUAGCGUUGCCAGUCUCUCUAUUGUUACUGCUGCUUCCUCCAUGGUCAGCUGUGCUGAACAGUGCUCCGUUACGUGUGUGUCAGCGAGUACUCAGAUGAUGGGCAGAAAUCUGGAUGGCAGAGCUGCAUCUUAGUAAGGGGUAUUUUCUGCAGUGGCGGCGUGGUUGCUCUAAUUGCAGCGGGUUGUUCUGCCAUGGUCUCCAUAUGCAAAGUGAUCUGUUGGCUGAUGGACGGAUGCCGGGAUGGUUCAGAUUUGAAAGCUAUUGUUGAUGUUGUUGGUGAUUCAGAGGAGGUGAUUUCUCGGUGGCAUUCAGUAGCAUUCGUCUGCCGGGGGAAAUCACAGGAUUGGAGGGCAAAGAUGGUGGUAGUUGUGUGCCGAACGCUCUAAUGCAAGUAUAUCUGCCAGAAGACUGGAGUGAAGUGAUGUGUGGCUCAGUCCCCAGCCGCAGUGGAGCCGUGUUGUGGCGCGCACUGUGCGUCCUGCGGUUGCUGAUUCCGUUCGGUCCAGGGCAGGAAUAGACACCGCUGCUCAAGUUCUCCUCCGGCCAUACAUUAGUCUCGGGGCAACAGUCGUAGGUUACCUGAAUCCUGACGACCUCUCGUUGUGUCCGGGACGCCGUAGGACGGCGUUCUCCUCUUCUCUCUCUCCGUUGCCCCUCCGGGCCCACGUGACCCUUGUGGCAGUGGCUCGACAGGACAGGACAGGACAGUGUCUAUUGCAGCGGAUAGCGUUGCCAGUGUCUCUACUGUUACUGCUGCUUCCUCCAUGGUCAGCUGUGCUGAACAGUGAUCCGUUACGUGUGUGUGAGCGAGUACUCAGAUGAUGUGCAGAAAUCUGGAUGGCAGAGCUGUGUCUUAGUAAGGGGUAUUUUCCGCAGUGGCGGCGUGGUUGCUCUUAUUGCAGCGGGUUGUUCUGCCAAGGUCUCCAUAUGCAAAGUGAUCUGUUGGCUGAUGGACGGAUGCCGGGAUGGUUCAGAAAUGAAAGUUGCAGUUACUGGUACAGUUGCUGAGAGUGUGAUGCUGCUGUGAUAGAGAUCAUUACCCAUGGUGUUGUCAGUAGCUGUACUAUUCCUCUGCUUCAUCUCUGGUCCUGGGAAACAGGAAUCAGAUGUAUGCAGAUCAGUGAGGUUUCUGAUGACGUACACAUACCUGGAUGAUAUUACUGCAAUGCAGAAAGCUAUUGUUGCUGUUGUUGGUGAUUCAGAGGAGGUGAUUUCUCGGUGGCAUUCAGUAGCAUUCGUCUGCUGGGGAAAAUCACAGAAUUGGAGGGCAAAGAUGGUGGUAGUUGUGUGCCGAACGCUCUAAUGCAAGUAUUUCUGUCAGAAGACUGUAGUGAAGUGAAUAUGGUUGUGUUAUCGUAUCAACAGCAGAGCGGUCGUGCUGUUAUUUCUGCAGCUAUGUAGCAGAUGGAUGUGACUACUACAAGUGUGUGGCUCCGUCCCCAGCCGCAGUGGAGGCGUGUUGUGGCGCGCACUGUGCGUCCUGCGGCUGCUGAUUCCGUUCGGUCCAGGGAGGAAUAGACACCGCUGCUCAAGUUCUCCUCCGGCCAUACAUUAGUCUCGGGGCAAAAGUCGUAGGUGACCUGAAUCCUGACGACCUCUCGUUGUGUCCGGGACGCCGUAGGACGGCGUUCUCCUCUUCUCUCUCCGUUGCCCCUCCGGGCCCACGUGACCCUUGUGGCAGUGGCUCUACAGGACAGGACAGGACAGGACAGCAUUGCCAGUGUCUCUACGGUUACUGCUGCUUCCUCCAUGGUCAGAUGUGCUGAACAGUGAUCCGUUACGUGUGUGUCAGCGAGUACUCAGAUGAUGGGCAGAAAUCUGGAUGGCGGAGCUGCGUCUUAGUAAGGGGGAUUAUCCGCAGUGGCGGCGUGGUUGUUCUUCUUGCAGCGGGUUGUUCUGCCAUGGUCUCCAUAUGCAAAGUGAUCUGUUGGCUGAUGGACGGAUGCCGGGAUGGUUCAGAUUUGAAAGUUGCAGUUGCUUGUCGAGUUGCUGACAGUGUGAUGCUGCUGUGAUAGAGAUCAUGACUCAUGGUGUUGUCAGUAGCUGUACUAUUCCUCUGCUUCAUCUCUGGUCCUGGGGAACAGGAAUCAGAUGUAUGCAGAUCAGUGAGAUUUCUGAUGACGUACACAUACCUGGAUGAUAUUGCUGCAAUGCAGAAAGCUGUUGUUGUUAAUAUACUUGCUGUUGUUGGUGAUUCAAAGGACGUGAUUUCCCGGUGGCAUUCAGUAGCAUUCGUCUGCCGGGAAAAAUCACAGGAUUGGAGGGCAAAGAUGGUGGUAGUUGUGCGCCGAACGCUCUAAUGCAAGUAUAUCUUCCAGAAGACUGGAGUAAAGUGAGUAAGUAGACUUUCUAUUGUUAAUAAUCUGCUAUUUGUUACUACUGGUAACUGUACAAUACUCACCACACAUUAUUGUUUGCUAUUUUCACGACAAGAGAGUAAGGGCCAGGUUCCACUGCGGCUCCGCUGCUCCGCUGCUCAUCAUCCGCGGGUUGAAACGUCAUCAUUACCAUAGUGACCGCGGCUCAAGCUGGAGCAGCGAGGCCACGGCUCACAGCGACCUUUUGCUACGAUUCUUGAUCAAAAACUGAGAGCCGCAGUCGCGGCUCGACCUGUUUCCCGUUACUUUGCACUGUUUUGUACGCAAGAAUUUUAAAAUUCUAAUUUUAUUUCAUUGCUGGCCAGAACACGAGGUUUUUUUGAUUUCGCGGUACCGCGAAUGAAGAGUGUCAGUGGAACCGCGCUGCUCCGCUGCAUGCCGCCAAGUGCCGCGGAGCAGCCGAGCCGCGGAGCCGCAGUGGAACCCGGCCCUAAUGUGAAUAUUGAUUAACCAGAGCGAAGUCAAAUUUGAACAGUGAGUUUAUGAAAGUGGCCACAGUCCUUUGCGAACAUUAUCCACUGUAAACUCCCUGGUUCUAGGAAAUGGCGAAAAUUUAUUGACGCGAAUAUCGGUGUGUUUGCAGAAUUCUAAUUUUACCAUAGUAACAAGUCAGAAAUGUAUUAUGUGAUUAUAGUACUGUAGGGUCAUGAAAUUUGUACCGGCUAGGAUUUCACAACACACACCAUACCGGUAUAUACCGUAAAAUCCCACCAGAGCGUCCCGUCUCUUCCAUGCGCACCUCCCGGACUUUUUGUCAGGGAUGUGAUUGAUUGUAUCCUCGUAUGACUUCAUGAUGCCGUACUGUCCUGCAGACGAGUGCUCGACCCGGUCAUUUUUCCUACUAGUGGUGGUGCUGUUGAUGGUGAUGGCGAUGGUCCCGCAACUGUUGCUACUGCUGCUACUGCUGCUGGCAUUGCUGCUACUGUUGCUGGUGCUGGUGAUGAUCCCGCAACUGUUGCUACUGUUGCUGCUGGUGAUGGUGCUUGUCCUGUUGUUACUGCUGCUAGUGCUGCUAUUUAUGCAACUGCAUGUUGCUGCUUUUUGUUUGUGUUUUUCUUGCUGAAUUUUCCCGUUGCACUGCUACAGAUAUGUUUGUGUUAUCGUAUCAACAGCAGAGCGGUCGUCCUGUUAUUUCUGGAGCUGUGUAGCAGAUUGAUGUGACUACUACAAGUGUGUGGCUCAGUCCCCAGCCGCAGUGGAGGCGUGUUGUGGCGCGCACUGUGCGUCCUGCGCCCGCUGCUUGCGUUCGGUCCAGGGCUGGAAUAGACACCGCUGCUCAGGUUCUCCCCCGGCCAUACGUCAGUCUAGGGGUAAAAGUCGUAGGUGACCUGAAUCCUGACGACCUCUUGUUGUGUCCUGGACGCCGUGGGACAGCGUUCUCCUCUUCUCUCCCUGUUGCUACUCCAGGCCCACGUGACCCUUGUGGCAGUGGCUCGAUAGGACAGGACAGGACAGGCAGUCACUUCCUUUUCUGGCGGAGCUGAGUCUUAGAAAGCGGGUUGUUCUGCCAAGGUCUCCAUAUGCAAAGUGAUCUGUUGACUGAUGGACGGAUGCCGGGAUGGUUCAGAAAUGGAAGUUGCAGUUGCUAGUACAGUUGCUGAGAGUGUGAUGCUGCUGUGAUAGAGAUCAUGACUCAUGGUGUUGUCAGUAGCUGUACUAUUCCUCUGCUUCAUCUCUGGUCCUGGGCAACAGGAAUCAGAUGUAUGCAGAUCAGUGAGGUUUCUGAUGACGUACACAUACCUGGAUGAUAUUGCUGCAAUGCAGAAAGGUGCUUCUGCUGUGGUCUUGCAGGACAUCUUCUAGUUGUGGAAAUGAUUUGUUUGGGUGACUGAACAGAAGACUGUAUGGUUCAUAUUGGAAAGCUGCUGUUUCUGCGGCUGUUAUCGCUGCCUUUGUUGUUGUUGCUGCUGGUUCUGCGGCUGUUACUGUGCCUGCCAUGGCUCAUGUUUCUUCAGGUGCUGUUGUUAUGGUUACCUGUGUUGUGGAUGAUCAGGUUGCUGAUGUAGGAGACCUGAACAUUACUGGCUACUGUUCAUUACUAGAAGAAUGCAGAGGAUUGUCAAGAUGUACAUUGUACAUGUCUAUCUGUUCAGACAGUACACAAGGUGAAUGAAGAUGGAACAUAUCCAUUUCAUCAAUAAUUGUUCUCUUCUCAAUUGUUUUUAUUUUGGUCUUGAAACUUCUACCUUCCUUGUCGGAGAAGUAACGUUGUCCCCCCCCCCCCCCCCCUCCCACCCCUCCCUUAUCACCCCUCAGGGGCGUACAUAGGGCGGUUCCCGGGAUGCCCGGGAACCAGUAAAAAAACUUCGAUAUGGGUACAGAGAAGUUUUUGGUCCAGGCCCAGCGCUCGCAGUGCGCUAUCGAUAGCAGCGCAAGUGCAUGCAGUGCGAGUCCGCCUGACGGUCCGAGGACGGUGACUGUAGCCCAGGUGUGAAAGUCGUAACAGCGUACUGAACUGGGUUCAACUGAACUAGGUACAUCGCCGGAUUCCUCGAUCUCAGAGUCAAAUUUUCCUUUGCAGUUUGUUUCGACAAAGUUGGUCGUGUUUCGAACGAUGCUUUCGCUUUGUGGAAAAGAAAAAUGAAGCGUCGACAUCCAGAGGGCCAGAGCUCUAUUCAGAGCUAUUUUGAGCAGCAGGCCGAAAGCAUGUAGCCAGUGCUAGUGGCAAAGGUCACGCGAUAGAUGAGAAUGCAGACGCACCUGACUUGCAAGCGAAGUCUGCAUGCAACGAGCAGCGCUGCGGAAAAAAUUGUCGGCGAAGCUGUAGAGCGACCGCUGUUGGAAGCUGCUGGAUCAUCCAAUACUUACUUUAGUGACAUGGGAGUGUGUUGGAAGGGAUAUUCUGAACGUCGACGUCCACAGUGGAAUCCAGUUCCCCGAAAUUUGCCGGACACGGAAAAGAUCUCCGUCGUCGAUAAUCAUUGUGCGCCACCGAAGGCGAAGGAUUUCAUUUCCUGUGCGUGUCCAGACGGAUGGGAAACAGCGCCACUUUCAACUAUCCUUGUUAUUAGAGGAGUUACCCUGGGUAGUCUUUUGACCGGCGUGCAAUGGUGGCUUCUGCUUGCCCUGUGUGAUGUUUGCUCCAGAUGAUUGGAAACUUAGGCAGCUUUCAAAACUGCAUGCAACCGUCAUGCUGAACAAAACAUCCAUAAAACGUAAAGUCAAAAGUGCGUAGCAAUGACAUCGUCCAGCAGCUUGUGGAUGUUAAUUUCACCCAGUCUGAGAAGAAGAUGCAGAAACUCCGGCCGUGGGAUACGAAAAAUAGCACUUCAAUUGAAUUUGUGUGGAAUUUUGGUUCAUCAGGUGGCAUGGGAACCACUCCUGGAGGCGAGCGGCGUACGCCCCUGCCCCUCCCCCUUAUCAUCCCUCCUCCUCCCCCCUCCCUUAUCACCCCUCCCCCUCCCCCUUAUCACCCCUCCCCCUAUAUCCUUCCCCAACCACACAUAUCAUUGUGUAUUUUUAAUUGUACACACAGCUAGGCUAGGGAAGUUUUCAUGGUAUUUUCUUGCGGUAAUAACUGCUGGUGACUACUUCAAUUUCACUAGAGAAAUGAAAAGACCCUGGUUUACCGGUACUUGAUGUGUGUGUUUGUUCAUGAUCACAUUCAUACACAAAUACUCGUCUGCGUAUCCAUGUUGCACUAUUAUAACCACUGGCCUCGUUUUUGCUGCUGUCCAUGCAAUGGACUACAUAAAAUUAUUAUUUUCCACUCCAUUCUGCACCCGUUUUCUUCCUACUGUUUCCCAUAACUCAGGUGAUAUGUUAUUACCAGUGAUGUGUUUGACUACUUCUCUUGCCACAUAUAGCUGAUACUAGUGAUAGUAAAACUGGAUGCUGUUCUCCAAUUCAUGAAUGUAUAAUAUUAUCAUUAAACUGAGUACGGUACUCGAGUACUUGUGUAGUUCAA